rnacentral:tRNA from 1 species
GCCGGUAUAGCUCAGUUGGUAGAGCACCUGAUUUGUAAUCAGGGGGUCGCGGGUUCGAGCCCUGCUGCCGGCACCA